UGAGGAAUAUUGGUCAAUGGACGCAAGUCUGAACCAGCCAAGUAGCGUGCAGGAUGACGGCCCUAUGGGUUGUAAACUGCUUUUAUAUGGGGAUAAAGUGGGGAACGUGUUCCCUUUUGCAGGUACCAUAUGAAUAAGGACCGGCUAAUUCCGUGCCAGCAGCCGCGGUAAUACGGAAGGUUCGGGCGUCAUCCGGAUUUAUUGGGUUUAAAGGGAGCGUAGGCCGUUUGGUAAGCGUGUUGCGAAAUGUAGGAGCUCAACUUCUAGAUUGCAGCGCGAACUGGUCGACUUGAGUAUGCAGGAAGUAGGCGGAAUUCAUGGUGUAGCGGUGAAAUGCUUAGAUAUCAUGACGAACUCCGAUUGCGCAGGCAGCUUACUGUAGCAUAACUGACGCUGAUGCUCGAAAGUGCGGGUAUCAAACAGG
rnacentral:rRNA from 1 species